GCAACUCGCCUGCAUGAGGCUGGAAUUGCUAGUAAUCGCGGAUCAGCAAGCCGCGGUGAAUACGUUCCCGGGCCUUGUACACACCGCCCGUCACACCAUGAGAGUCGGGAACACCCGAAGUCCGUAGUCUAACCGCAAGGGGGGCGCGGCCGAAGGUGGGUCCGGUAAUUGGGGUGAAGUCGUAACAAGGUACC
rnacentral:rRNA from 1 species